rnacentral:lncRNA from 10 species
GUGAAACCCCGUCUCUACUAAAAAUACAAAAAAUUAGCCGGGCGUGGUGGUGGGCCUCUGUAGUCCCAGCUACUCGGGAGGCUGAGGCAGGAGAAUGGCGUGAACCCGGGAGGCGGAGCUUGCAGUGAGCCGAGAUCGCGCCACUGCAGUCUGGCCUGGGCAAAAAAGCGAGACUCCCUCUCAAAAAAACAAACAAACAAACAAACAAACAAACAAAAAAAAGAAAAAACUUACAAUCAUGGCGGAAGGGGAAGCAAACAUGUUCUUCUUUACAUGUUGGCAGCAAGAAGUGCCCAGCAAAAGGGGGAAAAGCCCCUUAUAACACCAUCAGAUUUCAUGAGAACUCACUCACUGUCAUGAGAAUAACAGCAUGGGGGUAACUGCCUCCAUGAUUCAAUUACCUCCUCUAGGUCCCUCUCAUAACAUGUGGGGAUUAUGGGAAAUACAAUUCAAGAUGAGAUUUGGGCAGGGACACAGUCAAACCAUAUCAAGGAGAUACACCUCUGAAAUUGUUAAUAUUUGAUCUUACAGCUAAAAUUAAUGAGCUCUUUCCCUUUUAAUAAUCUUUUUUCCAUUAAAUUAGGUGUAGUUAUUUAUUACAGUGAUAUACUUGCCAAAUAUCUGACUAAACAGUUCUCAAAUUUUAGCAUCAACUAGAAGUACUGGGAAGAGUUUGUUAAAAAUGUAGAUUCCUGGGACCCAUCUCCAAUUUCCUCUCCUCCUUUCUUCACCUACUAAAAUUAUCCAAUCCUUGGAGUCUAGUUCAAAAACCACAUUCUCUGUAAAUACAAUUUCACAAAGAAUUCUUUCUUCCUACUCCUGUAAGCCUCACUCUUAAAGGCUCACACUGAAUUCUUGAGGUUGGUACAUGUUCUGUUCCACACUCCCCUCCCUUUCCCACCUGGAUUCCUGCUGUUGGCUUUUUUUUUUUUUUUUUUUUUUAAGUGAUGCUCCUUUUGCUUGUUUUCCACAGGGGCUUUGCCAAAUGGAAGUUCUGGUCAGCAUUUUGCCUUCUGGACCUAAUCUAUUUUUCUGUUCUUUUCAGUUUCCAGUGCUGAUUCUAUUUCUCUCUUUUAUUUUUCCUUACAGCUAAAUGUGGUAUAGUAAAGUAAAAAAUGAACUUAGGAAAAGCAAGGCUAGUUUCAAAUCUCAGUCCUACCACAACUACCCCUAUGCCCUUGGGUAGUCAUUUCAUCUCUCUGGGUUUUGUUUCCUUCCUCUGUCAAACAGGUCAAAAAGAGUGUUAUGAAGUUUUAUUGCAGUGCAAGAAAGAUACACAGAAGGUGUUCAACAAGUGUUACUUCAUUUAAAAUAAUGUUGAUUUCCUGAAGAGGUUAGGUAAUGGGUACAAAAAGUACAUUUUGAUAGAAAGAAUAAGUUCUAGUGUUCAAUAGCAUAGUAGCAUGACAAUGCUUAUCAGUAAUUUAUUAUGUAUUUCAAAAUAUCUAGAAAAGAUUUGGAAUGUUCUCAACACAAGGGAAUGUUAAAUGUCUGAAGUGAUGGGUAUCCUAAAUACUCUUUCUUGGUGAUUACACAUUGUAUCACAUGUACUGCAUAAAUAUGUACAAUUAUUAUGUAUCAGUAAAACAUAAAUAGAUAAAGAAGCACAGAGUUGAUGUCUUAUUUAUCUUUGUGACUUCUCAGAUUUUUUUUCAGUGUUUUGUGCAUAGGAUAUACCAAGAAAUUUUGUUAAAUUGAAUUAAAUGGAAUGAAUCCAACUAAUUCUAAGUAAUUAGAAAUAAUUUGAAACCCUGUUUCAAAACUCAGGAGAGAUUUUAAGCCACACACUUAAUUUACUCUUUUAAUAAUGCUGCUUGUCCUAACAUGAGGUACCUUGAAACAUUUUGAAAUGGACAAUUAAUUAUGGCACUUGCAUUUAGAGAAGUUUAAUGCAAUGUGCUAUUUCAGGUUGAUAUUUUCUUUAUAAUAUUUAGAAAGAGGAGCUUUACUUUUUUGUAAAUUUGAUAGAUUUUUAUUGACUAAAGUCAACUAAUUUAUCUUGAUUUUUCCCAUUUAUUUGAUUAAUAAUAAUAAAUAUAAAAUAAGCCUUACUGUUUAAGUCACUGCAGUUGAGCAGAACAAAUGACAUCACAGGCCAGGUUCAGGUUUCUCCUGACUCAUUACAAUAAUGUCUUCAACAUUUGGUUUAGCUUUGUCUUUGCUAUCCCUAGGGAUAUGCAGUUUCAUGAUAGCAUAAUUUAGAAAUGCAUUGAAGAUAAUUUGUAGUAUAAAUCUGUAACAAUAGGGUUCACCAUUAUUUUACUGAGUUAUUCAAUUGUAUUUUGAAGAUUCAGUAACUGCUAUCAUUAAAACUUAAUUAUUCAAGUAACUAUUUGGGUAUCAAUUAAGCAGUCUAAGGAUAAUCUGUGCCUUUGACUUAAUUAUAUAUAUUUCCUUAGAAUUAUUCUCUGUUUUGUCCUAUUUUUUAAUUAAAAUUUUUUAUUUAUUCUAAAAUAUUUUACUAAUUAGGAAUUUGAGUAACAGAAAUGAAGCCUGGUUUAGAAUGCACAAGAAUGUGAUUUAGAGCUAACACAGAUGUGCUGAUCACAAGAAGACCUCUAGAGAUCAUCCAGCCUUUCCUUUACCUUUUUAUUAUAUUCAGGUUCUCAACAGUUUGGAUAAUGUUUCACCUGUGUCAGCAGAUUUUCUUUACUCAGUCUACCAAUUCAAAUUCUAAUUUCUUCCAGAAACACCCUCACAGACACACUCAGAAAUAAUGUUUUACCAGCUAUCUGGGCAUUCCUUAGCCUAGACAAGUUGACACAUAAAAUUAACCAUUACACAUUUGUAGUUAAGGGUGGCCAUGCUAAAAAUUUUGCAAAUGUAACAUACUUGGGAGUAACCUCUUCUCCUUAUUCUUUUUCCUUCCUAAAACUCUGGAGGUACAGUAGUUGUUUUGAGACCAUGGAGACUGAAUAUACUAUAGGGAAGAAGAGCAGGACAACUAAAGGAACUGGGUACCUGAUGGCAUUAUUUAGAUACAGAAUCCAGCCUGGAUUGCACACUCCCAGGUUUUUGCUGUGUGACUAAAUAAGAAUUAACCACUACAUUAGAUUUUCUUGCAUUCACUUGAAUGCAAUCCUAGCAGCUACACUCAACAUAUCUCUAAUUUAUAUUAUCCUAUGUCUCUCACCUUUCUUCUUAUUUCUCACCUUUUCUCAUAUCCAUGAGUGGUACUCCCAUUAGUCCAGGAUCUCAAACCAGAAUUACAGAGUGAAAUUCAAUUCUUCCAUCUCCUUCAUGAUCCUGUCCUCCUAAUACCUCUUUAACAUUGCAUCAGUCCAUCUACUUCUCUUUGUCCUGCUGCCAUAUGUUAGUACAGGAUUUGCCUAGAUUAUUGUAGCAAACUUUUUUUUUUUUUUUUUUUUUUAGAUGGAGUUUUGCUCUUGUUGCCCAGGCUGGAGUGCAAUGGCAGCUAUCUCAGCUCACUGUAACCUCUGCCUCGCGGGUUCAAGCGAUUCUCCUGCCUCAGCCUCCUGAGUAGCUGGGAUUACAGGCAUGCCCCACCAUGCCUGGCUAAUUUUGUAUUUUUAGUAGAGACAGGGUUUCUCCAUGCUGGUCAGGCUGGCCUCGAACGCCCGGCCUCAGGUGAUCUGCCUGCCUCGGCCUCCCAAAGUGCUGGGAUUAUAGUGUGAGCCACCAUGCCCGGCCUGUAGCAAACAUUUAAAACUGAUCUCUGUGUAUUUAGUCUUGCUCUACUUCAGGACAUUCUCAAUACUGCAGCAAAAGUUAUUCUAAAAUGCAAAUCUCAUUUUGGCAGGGAUGCUGCUAAAUAUCCUACAGUGCACAGAACGGCCACCAACGACCAAGAAUUAUCCAGUCCAAAAUGUCAGUAAAGCUGAGGUUAAGAAAUCCUGUUCCAGAAUAUCACAUUUUUUGGAUGCUGUGGUACCUGGAGUGAUGCCAGACUGCAGAGGCCACCUGGUGACAUGAGGAGAGAUUCAACUUAACAUGACCUCCUGCUGGGACUCUACAGGAACUCAACUGCAGACUAGGAGGCAAAGGAGCCGACGGAUGUAUUCCACACUGAACAGCAUCCUGGGAUCCAGAGGGGUAAACAAGACGUCUGGUACCAUCACUCCUGGCCCCUCAGCAUCUACUUUUCGUUGCAGGAAAAGUUUGUGUCUCCAUCACAGGGGACACAUGAAGUUCCAUCAGCUACCAAAUCAUAACAGGGUAACAUCAGUUGAGUAGCAGCUGUGCCUGAAAUGAAAACAUUAAUGAUCACUGAGUUCUCCACGUAAGGUAGCAGAGGAAAAAAGGAAAAACAAAUAACACCAACAGUAGCUGAUACUAUCCCCAAAUCUGUAGCUGGACACAGAGCAUAAUUUGGUAAGCAGAAUUCCUUUUUCUACCAUACAUCCUAUCUCUAUGUUCUCCUUUCCCUUUGCCAGCACUAUGGUUGGACAGGGAUUCUCUCCUGGUAGGAUAAUCUGAACUUUCAUUUCUCUAAGUCCUACAAUAAAUAAGCAAAUUGAUUCCAGCAUCUUCUUUUGAGCAUCUGUUUCCUGAGGUCAUUUUUGUACUAUUAAUAAAUGUAGCAGGAAAUGUAUGGCAACUCAAAUGAAGAUAAUUCAAGGA